rnacentral:rRNA from 1 species
GAUGAACGCUGGCGGCGUGCCUAACACAUGCAAGUCGAGCGAUUUACUUCGGUAAAGAGCGGCGGACGGGUGAGUAACGCGUGGGUAACCUGCCCUGUACACACGGAUAACAUACCGAAAGGUAUGCUAAUACGAGAUAAUAUACUUUUAUCGCAUGGGAGAAGUAUCAAAGCUUUUGCGGUACAGGAUGGACCCGCGUCUGAUUAGCUAGUUGGUAGGGUAACGGCUUACCAAGGCGACGAUCAGUAGCCGACCUGAGAGGGUGAUCGGCCACAUUGGAACUGAGACACGGUCCAAACUCCUACGGGAGGCAGCAGUGGGGAAUAUUGCACAAUGGGCGAAAGCCUGACGGAGCAACGCCGCGUGAGCGAUGAAGGCCCUCGGGUCGUAAAGCUCUGUCCUCAAGGAAGAUAAUGACGGUACUUGAGGAGGAAGCCCCGGCUAACUACGUGCCAGCCGCCGCCGUAA